rnacentral:rRNA from 1 species
CAUCCUGCUUUUGGAAAAGCGGAGAUCAAAGCUGGGGAUCGCAAGACCUGGCGCUUGAAGAGGGGCCCGCGCCUGAUUAGCUAGUUGGUGGGGUAACGGCUCACCAAGGCAACGAUCAGUAUCCGGCCUGAGAGGGCGGACGGACACACUGGGACUGAGACACGGCCCAGACUCCUACGGGAGGCAGCAGUGGGGAAUUGUUCGCAAUGGGCGCAAGCCUGACGACGCAACGCCGCGUGGAGGAUGAAGAUCUUCGGGUCGUAAACUCCUGUCGAGCGGGAAGAAUUGCUUCGAAGUUAAUAGCUUCGGAGCUUGACGGUACCGCUAAAGGAAGCCCCGGCUAACUCCGUGCCAGCAGCCGCGGUAAUACGGGGGGGGCAAGCGUUGUUCGGAAUUACUGGGCGUAAAGGGCUCGUAGGCGGCCAACUAAGUCGGACGUGAAAUCCCCAGGCUCAACCUGGGAACUGCGUCCGAUACUGGAUGGCUUGAAUUCGGGAGAGGGAUGCAGAAUUCCAGGUGUAGCGGUGAAAUGCGUAGAUAUCUGGAGGAAUACCGGUGGCGAAGGCGGCAUCCUGGACCGACAUUGACGCUGAGGAGCG